GACAGAGGGUGCGAACGUUGUUCGGAAUUACUGGGCGUAAAGCGCAUGUAGGCGGCAGCGCAAGUCGGGCGUGAAAUCCCACGGCUCAACUGGGGAGGGUCACGCGAUACUGAUCGACUCGAAGGCAGGAGAGGGUAGUGGAAUUCCCGGUGUAGUGGUGAAAUGCGUAGAUAUCGGGAGGAACACCAGUGGCGAAGGCGACUACCUGGCCUGUUCUUGACGCUGAGGCGCGAAAGCUAGGGGAGCAAACGGG
rnacentral:rRNA from 1 species